rnacentral:rRNA from 1 species
UUGACGGGGCCGCACAAGCGGUGGAGCAUGUGGUUUAAUUCGACGCAACGCGAAAAACCUUACCUACCCUUGACAUGUCAAGAAUUUUGCAGAGAUGUGAAAGUGCUCGAAAGAGAACUUGAACACAGGUGCUGCAUGGCCGUCGUCAGCUCGUGUCGUGAGAUGUUGGGUUAAGUCCCGCAACGAGCGCAACCCUUGUCAUUAGUUGCUACCGCAAGGAGCACUCUAAUGAGACUGCCGGUGACAAACCGGAGGAAGGUGGGGAUGACGUCAGGUCCUCAUGGCCCUUAUGGGUAGGGCUACACACGUCAUACAAUGGCCGGUACAGAGGGCUGCCAACCCGCGAGGGGGAGCCAAUCCCAGAAAACCGGUCGUAGUCCGGAUCGUAGUCUGCAACUCGACUGCGUGAAGUCGGAAUCGCUAGUAAUCGCGGAUCAGCUUGCCGCGGUGAAUACGUUCCCGGGUCUU